rnacentral:rRNA from 1 species
UACGUAGGGGGCUAGCGUUGUCCGGAAUCAUUGGGCGUAAAGAGCGCGUAGGCGGCUAGAUAAGUCCGGUGUGAAAGUCACAGGCUCAACCUGUGAAUGCCGCUGGAAACUGUCUGGCUAGAGUCCGGAAGGGGCGAGUGGAAUUCCUGGUGUAGCGGUGAAAUGCGCAGAUAUCAGGAGGAACACCAAUUGCGAAGGCAGCUCGCUGGGACGUGACUGACGCUGAGACGCGAAAGCGUGGGGAGCAAACAGG